rnacentral:lncRNA from 1 species
CCUCGUAAUAAAUUAGGUUCCUGUACAUAAUUUAAAUUUUAUAUUGUGACGCUUGCUAAUUGAAGAGGACGAUGUAGAAGAAAUUUUGAAAUUGUUUACAUAUAUCCUAUUUAGUAUUUAAUUUGUAAUUUGAGGAUUAAUUUGGAUUUUAUAGAUAAUUUUUUUCUAGUUAAUUUUGAAAAGAAAGCAAAUCGACGCUAGAGGGAAGCACUGAAGGGAAGCAUGUUGAGGAAUGGAGUAAUGAGUUGUUCAUAAUGAGGAUGAAUUCUCAUAUUUCCUUCAGUCAUAUAAAAAAUUCAAGGAAAACUCGUCAUUUUUAAUGAUAUUGGAUAUGAAUCUAAAACUAUUGAUGAACGAGUAUUGCGGAUUCCUCAAAGUUAAUGACACGUGAUAUUGCAUUGCCUUUUAUUCCCGGAAUACUUUGGAGAGAUGAGAACCGUAUCUAUUUUCAAGAUGGGAUACACCAUUAAAUUAAUAAUUUCUGUCAAAUGUAAUAAUUAUGAAGGAAAGAAACAUUUCAAAAGAAUGUCAACAUGUAACAGUUUUUGAAUCAAUCUUUGAAUAAAUCAACAGUAGUUUGCAACAAAAUGGAACAUUUCCAUUCAAAGAAUAUAAUUUAUACAUACCACUUGUUUCAUAUUCAAAUUUUGUUAACAUGUUCUGUAUCCUUGCACAUCCAUUUUGUCAUUUUGUUCUUCAAAGUGAGAUUAUUUAUAAAACAAUAAAUGACAAAAAUGUCAUCUUUAUAAAAAUUGCUUAUUUGGUUGACAUAUAAUAAAAUAGCAUCAUCAAAUAUAUAAAAUAA